GGAUCCUGAUGAUAACAGGGAGUCAGUACAAACGCAGAAUCAAGAAAGAGACACAGAAGAUGCUAUUAGAAGGAUCAUGGGUUGAAGAGGGUAGGACCAGAGGCGGAGACCAAUUAGGAGGCUGUUUGAACAGCCUAGAAGGGAGAUGACCUGGCCUGAAGAGCAAUGACAGCUGGAACAGUGAAUAGAAGCCACAUAGACUCUUCCGAGGAGUACCCAUGUGUCACUUCUGGGACAGGCAGCCUCACUCCUGCCAGGGCCGUGCAGGGCAGUCCACAGGCCAAAGGUCCAAGUAGAUUCAGCGCUGCUGAGUUGCUUCUGGGAACCCACCAGUCUCCAAGCAACUUGACUUCAUUAUGCAGAUCCAGCAAGACACAGAGACAUUUUUGAAUCCACAAAUAACUUCUAUCUAGGACCAGUGAUGACCCAGCUUCAAGCAUGCAGCAGAUGAGGACAAUGCUCCAGAGGAUGGAGAAGCAACAUGAUACGAGGAAUCUGUGUCCCUGAAUGACCAUUUGGUGCACAGCUGCCCCAAUGACCUGGAU
rnacentral:lncRNA from 10 species